rnacentral:rRNA from 1 species
GUGGGGAAUAUUGCACAAUGGGGGAAACCCUGAUGCAGCGACGCCGCGUGAGUGAAGAAGUAUUUCGGUACGUAAAGCUCUAUCAGCAAGGAAGAAAAUGACGGUACUUGACUAAGAAGCCCCGGCUAACUACGUGCCAGCAGCCGCGGUAAUACGUAGGGGGCAAGCGGUAUCCGGAUUUACUGGGUGUAAAGGGAGCGUAGACGGUAUGGUAAGUCAGAUGUGAAAGCCCGGGGCUCAACCCCGGGACUGCAUUUGAAACUAUCAGACUAGAGUGCAGGAGAGGUAAGUGGAAUUCCUAGUGUAGCGGUGAAAUGCGUAGAUAUUAGGAGGAACACCAGUGGCGAAGGCGGCUUACUGGACUGUAACUGACGUUGAGGCUCGAAAGCGUGGGGAGCAAACAGGAUUAGAAACCCGAGUAGUCC